CUGGAAACAAGUUGCUAUGUAUCUUUGCAACUGAAUACUACUAAGCAAUAAAAAGGAAUGAACUACUGUUAUGCCCAAAAAAUAUGAAUAAAUCUCGGAAAUAUUAUGCUGAGCAAAAGAAAUGGACACAAAGGAGUACAUGCUGUUGAUUCCAUUUACAUGAAAUUCUAGAGAGGCAUAAUUAAUCUUUAGUGACAGAAAGCAGAACAGUGGUCCUCUGCAGCUAGGGGUGGUAGGGAUUGACAGCAAAGGGGUACAAGGGAACUAUUUGGGGUGAUAGAAAUGUAUGUUCUUAUUGUGGUAGUAAUUACAUGGUGCAUACAUUUGUCAAAAAUCAUCAAACUAUAAACUUAAAAUGACUUUAUUUAAUGACAUAUAAAUUGUACCUCUAUAAAUUUUAUUUUAAAAGAAAAAAUAUAAUUCAGCAAUAAAAAGGGAUCAAGUACUCAAGUGAUAUCAGCAUCAUGGUGGAGUGAGUUGUUCCUUUAGUCUCUUCCCCAUAAGCUAUAACCAAAUGGACAUUUAUUAACCAACAGAGGAUUCCCUAAAAAGCACAACAGGACAUCUGAGAGAUCCACGCAGCCAUAAAUCUGAAGCUGGGGAUACUGGAUCCCGAGGAAGCAGUGGAAGGAGAAUGAAACAAAACGGGAUGAAGUACUGAUACAUGCUACAUCAUGGAUGAAACUCAAAAACAUUAUGGUAAGUGAAAGAAGCCAGAUACAAAAAGAUGACAUAUUGCGUGAUCCCAUUUUGUGAAAUGGUCAGGAAAGACAACUUUGUAGAGACAAUGAGUAAAUUAGUGGUUGCAUGGGGGGUCGGGAACAAGAGUGGCUGCAGCUGGACCUGAGCAAUCUCUUUGGGGAUGAUGGAAAUGUUCUAAAGUUGGAUUAUGAUCAUAGUAGUACAAUAUUGUAAAUAUACUAAAAAUCAUUUAAUUGUACACUGAAGAUGAGUGAAUUUAUGGUUUGUAAAUUACAUUUCAAUAAAGCUCUUUUAUAAAGAUAAUUGACCAAUAUGGUCCAGGAAUCCUGCUCCUUGGUAUUUACCCAAAUAAGUUGAAAGCUUAUGUGUACACAAAACCCAGCACUUAGAUUUUUAUAGCACUUUAUUCAUAAUUGCCAAAUCUUGGAAGCAACAAAGAUGUCCUUUAGUAGGUGAAUGGAUAAAUAAACUGUGGUACAUCCAGACAAUGGAAUAUUCAGCAUUAAAAAGAAAUGAGCUAUCAAGCCAUGAAAAGACAUGGAGGAAUCUUAAAUGCAUAUUACUAAGGGAAAGAAGCCAAUCUGAAAAGGCUACAUAUUGUAUGAUUCCAACUGCUUUACAUUCUGGAAAAGGUAAAAUUUAUGGAGUGGUAGAGGGGAAUGAAUAAGCAGACCAGAGGCUUUUUAGGGCAGUGAAACUAUUCUGUAUGCUAUUAUAAUAGUGGAGACAUGUCACUAUACAUUUGUCAAAAAUCAUAAAAUGUACACCACCAAGAGUGAACUCGAAUGUAAACUAUGGACUUCGUGGUAGUUGUAACGUGCCAAUGUAGGUUCAUCGAUUGUAUCAAAUAUACCACUCUGGUGCCGAAUGUUGAUCAUGGAGGAGGCUGUGUGUGUGAGGUGCAGGGAACAUGUGGGAAUUCUCUGUAUUUUCAGUUCAGUUCUGCUGUGAAUUUAGCAGCCCUAAAACUGCUCUAAAAAAUAAACUCUAUUAAAAAGAAGAAGAAAUAAGCUAUCAAGCCAUGAAAAGACAUGGAGGAAACUCAAAUGCAUAUUAGUAAGUGAAAGAAGCCAAUCUGCAAAGGUUACAAAUUGUAUGAUUCAAACUAUAUAACAUUCUGGAAAAGGUAAAACUAUGGGGACAGUAAAAAGAUCAGUGGAGGGCCGGCCGGUGGCGCAGCGGUUAAGUGCGCACGUUCCCCUUCGGCAGCCCAGGGUUUGCCAGUUCGGAUCCUGGGUGCGGACAUGGUACCACUUGGCAAAAGCCAUGCUGUGGUAGGCGUCCCAUGUAUAAAGUAGAGCAUGGAUGUUAGCUCAGGGCCAGUCUUCCUCAGCAAAAAGAGGAGGAUUGGCAGUAGUUAGCUCAGGGCUGAUCUUCCUCAAAAAAAAAAAAAAAAUCAGUGGCUGCCAAGGGUUAGUGGGGAGAGAGGGAUGAAUAGGUAGAGUAUAGAGGAUUCUUAGGGCAGUGAAACUAUUCUGUGUGAUAUUAUAAUGGUGAGCACAUUUGUUAAGACUCAUAGAAUGUACAACACCAAGGGUGAACCCUAAUGUAAACUAUGAAUUGUGCAUGAUAAUGGUGUGUCAACCUAGGUUCAUCAAUUGUAACCAAUGUACCACUCUGGUGGUGUGGGAUUUUGAGA
ensembl:lncRNA